GUACCCCCUCUUCCAGCAGAGUCAGCUAUCCCCACUGUACCCCCUCUUCCAGCAGAGUCAGCUAUCCCCACUGUACCCCCUCUUCCAGCAGUCAGCUAUCCCCACUGUACCCCCUCUUCCAGCAGUCAGCUAUCCCCACUGUACCCCCUCUUCCAGCAGUCAGCUAUCCCCACUGUACCCCCUCUUCCAGCAGUCAGCUAUCCCCACUGUACCCCCUCUUCCAGCAGAGUCAGCUAUCCCCACUGUACCCCCUCUUCCAGCAGAGUCAGCUAUCCCCACUGUUCCAGCACUGUUCUAUCCCCCCUCUUCCAGCAGAGUCAGCUAUCCCCACUGUACCCCCUCUUCCAGCAGAGUCAGCUAUCCCCACUGUACCCCCUCUUCCAGCAGAGUCAGCUAUCCCCACUGUACCCCCUCUUCCAGCAGAGUCAGCUAUCCCCACUGUACCCCCUCUUCCAGCAGAGUCAGCUAUCCCCACUGUACCCCCUCUUCCAGCAGAGUCAGCUAUCCCCACUGUACCCCCUCUUCCAGCAGAGUCAGCUAUCCCCACUGUACCCCCUCUUCUAGCAGAGUCAGCUAUCCCCACUGUACCCCCUUUUCCAGCAGAGUCAGCUAUCCCCACUGUACCCCCUCUUCCAGCAGAGUCAGCUAUCCCCACUGUACCCCCUCUUCUAGCAGAGUCAGCUAUCCCCACUUACCCCCUCUUCUAGCAGAGUAAGCUAUCCCAACUGUACCCCCUGUUCUAGCAGAGUCAGCUAUCCCCACUGUACCCCCUUUUCCAGCAGAGUCAGCUAUCCCCACUGUACCCCCUCUUCUAGCAGAGUCAGCUAUCCCCACUGUACCCCCUCUUCCAGCAGAGUCAGCUAUCCCCACUGUACCCCCUCUUCUAGCAGAGUCAGCUAUCCCCACUGUACCCCCUCUUCCAGCAUGGUCAGCUAUCCCCACUGUACCCCCUCUUCCAGCAGAGUCAGCUAUCCCACACUGUACCCCCUCUUCCAGCAGAAUCAGCUAUCCACACUGUACCCCCUCUUCCAGCAGAGUCAGCUAUCCCCACUGUACCCCCUCUUCCAGCAGAGUCAGCUAUCCCCACUGUACCCCCUCUUCCAGCAGAGUCAGCUAUCCCCACUGUACCCCCUCUUCCAGCAGAGUCAGCUAUUCCCACUGUACCCCCUCUUCCAGCAGAGUCAGCUAUCCCCACUGUACCCCCUCUUCCAGCAGAGUCAGCUAUCCCCACUGUACCCCCUCUUCCAGCAGAGUCAGCUAUCCCCACUGUACCCCCUCUUCCAGCAGAGUCAGCUAUCCCCACUGUACCCCCUCUUCCAGCAGAGUCAGCUAUCCCCACUGUACCCCCUCUUCCAGCAUGGUCAGCUAUCCCCACUGUACCCCCUCUUCCAGCAGAGUCAGCUAUCCCCACUGUACCCCCUCUUCCAGCAUGGUCAGCUGACUGCAAUGUCUGUGUGUUUCUGCAAAGUGUGUUCUGUGUGUGUGUGUGUGUGUGUGUGUACACACUGUAACAGAGUUAGGGACAGAGAUCAAAGAAGACGACAGACAUGUCAGAAGCUGUGCUGUUGGAGAGAAGGACUAGGACCAUGUGGAGGAAGGGGCAGAGGUAUGAGAGAGCAAAGUAGAGCGAGAUGGAGCAUAGAGAUGAUGUGA
ensembl:lncRNA